GGGGCUGACCGGUUUUGACAGUAGGUGUGAAGAUUGGGCUCGCAUGUCAGGUGGAGUAUGUACGCCUGUGAAUAAUUCAUACAAACUAUAAUUGGCGAAUCUAAUUACGCCAUGGCUGCCUAAUUAAUACCUUCAAAGGAUUAAUGUAGGGCGUUAGGGUUGAGCUCAAAAGAGUUCCCCGGCCACAUUCCGCUGCUUUUUGUCUUGUUGGAGCAGUAUAUGGAGUGUCGAUAAGGCAGGACUAGCACCUAUCAUGCUAUUAAAUAGGUGCGAAAAUCAAAUAGCUAAGCACCAGGACAGGUGUGUUGCCCAGCAGUCCGGUGUCGAAAACCCAACAGGUAACUAAACAUGUAGACGGUACGGUGUUUCCCUAUCUGGACGCGAGUUCGAAUCUCGCCAGCUCCACCG
rnacentral:tmRNA from 1 species